AUGCGCGGACUUGGCGGGCUUGCAGAGCAUGCCCUCGGGGACGGAGCAGGAGCGCUUGCUGAAGCAGCUGCCCACCUUGACGUAGCGCGGCCAGAAGCGGCUGCCCAGGUCGUUCCAGGUGUAGAGCACCGGGCAGAAGGUCUGCGACCAGAGCCAGAGCUGGAGCUUCCUCCGCAGCUUCUUGCUGAGCCGGUGGUGCUUCUUGCUGGAGGCCGGGCCGCCCCCUCCGCCUCCUCCCCCGGCGGGGUCGUAGAAGUCCAGGCCCUUGAUCUCCCCGGGCAUGGCUCCCGAGGGUCGCUGCCGCAGGAGGAGGUCCAUCUCGGCCAAGUCCUUCUCCUUGGGGUCGAAGAGCGGGUCCGGGUGCUCGAUGAGGUCCACCAAGGGCAGGUUGUCGCUGGGCGCGGGGCGGAUGUGCAGGUAGUGCUGGCACUGGCCCCGCUCCGCCCGCAGCGCCACCGAGGCCGCCAGCGCGCACAGGGCCACCAGCCAGGGAGGCAUCCUGGCGGGGAGAAAGCCGGCGAGGAGGGCUCCUUCAGCCCAGCAUCCCAGGAAAGGCUCCCGCUCUCCCCCGCGGCCAACGUGGGUGUGCAAUCCCUCUCUCGCGGGGAAGAAAACCCUCCUUCCUUCCUCGCUCGCUCGCUCGCUCCAAGCGCCCUCUCCGCCGCCGGCACCAGCGAGUCUGCUCCGCCAAGAUCCCCCUCGCCUUUAAAUUUCCUGCGCUUGCCGCUCCAUCGCUAUGGAAACCGACGACUCCAGAAAGGAAAAGAGACGAGAGAUGGGAGGAGGAUGGGAAGGGAGUUCUUUCGCUCUCUCUCUCUCUCUCACCAGCAAAGUCCUGCUGCAGCUUUGCCUCUGUUUGUCACUGGUUCCACCCGAAAGAGGCGAAAAGGCAUCCCUCGCUCCCAAGUUUCCCCCAGACUGAGCCUUGGGAGGUCGCUUUUAUAGCACUCGGGCGCAGCAGCUCCUUCCCAGCCGGUCCUUGCAACCUUGCAGCGCGUCUCCUCCUCGCUCCAUGUGCGCGCUGGGUUUGCUCGCCGCCGCCGCCUCCUCCUCCCGCCCUCUCUCUCUCUCUCUCUCUCUCUCUCCUGUCUCCUCCUCCGGCUCUCUUUCCCCCCCUCCCUGCUCGCCCGGCUACCUGCCUUUAUUUGAGCGGCUCCGCGCAGGCACACUCCCCGCGCCGUGAUGUAAUAAUUCUGCCUGGCGUCCGGCCCGAGAAGUUCUCCUGCUGCAGGCAAGGCAGCCAGGGCGCCUCCUCGGCCCGGGAGCGGAGGCAGGCUGGAGCAGCGCGCCCUCUGCUGGACCCGGCCCCGCAGGGCAGGCGUCUCCCGUUGGCAAGCUCUGGCUGGCUCUACCCUGGCCAUAGAAUGCACAGGCUUCAUUUGCUCUAAAAAGGUAAAGGUUUCCCCUGACGUUAAGACCAGUCAUGUCUGACUCUGGGGGUUGGUGUUCAUCUCCGUUUCUAAGCCGAAGAGCCGGCGUUGUCCGUAGACACCUCCAAGGUCAUGUGGCCGGAAUGACUUCACUUCACUUUAUUUCUUAAUUAGUCGCUCUCCACCAGAGUGCUCUGAGCGACUUACAAUUUAAAAUAUCAUUCCACAAUAUAAAAACAUUCAACCUAAAAACAUUCAACAGUGACUAUUUGGCAAAUUAGAUCUGAUUUACUUAAAUGCACAACCAAACAGCCAAGUCUUGAGUGCUUUUCCAAAAGGUCGCAACUCCGACAUUGCUCUAACAUAUGGAGGCAAUGAGUUCCGCAGAAUUGGAGCAUAGGUCGAAAAGGCUUGUAGCUUCCAGGCGUACCUCCCUAGGGCCCGGUACGUAUAGGAGAUUUUCCUGGGAGGAUCAAGGUGACCAUUGAUGAAUAAAAGCAAUGAGGCGGUCCCUAAGAUAUAAUGGUCCUUGGCCAUUUCGAGCUUUAAAUGUUAGGAUCAGUAUCUUGUAGGAGAUCCGAUGUUCUAUUGGUAGCCAAUGCAGUUGUUUCAGAAUCGGUGUAAUAUGGGAUCUUAUAGAUGAUCCCGCUAGCAGCCUGGCCAUCGCAUUUUGGACCAUUUGGAUCUUCUGGGUUUUUGUCUUCGGAAGGCCGGUGUAUAAGGCGUUAAAUCCAACCUAGUGGUGACUGUUGCAUGGAUUACCAUUGCCAAUGCUUCUGUCGAAAGGUAGGAUGCCAAUUUCCUUGCCUGGCGAAGAUGAAAAAAGGCCUGCUUACUUACGACAGUGAUCUGGGCCUCCAUCGUCAGCGAUGAGUCCAACACAACCCCAAGGCUUUUAACAGUAGCAGACAACACCAGAACUUCCCCGUCGAAAUCAGGCAGUGACUGGAUUAACUCUGGUGGCUGGCUGGGCCAGAGUAUCUCAGUUUUAGUGGGAUUCACUUUUAGUCUACUCACUCGCAGCCAACUCAUCACUGCUUCCAAACACAGCUUAAAGUUCUCAGGAAUCGUCGUUGUCCCAGGUUCUAGAUGCAAGACUAGCUGGUAGCACUCUAUGCCAAAGCUCCGCACUAGUCCAGCAUGUCUGCAUGACUGCAUGGAGCACCGUUACCUUCCCGCCGGAGCGGUACCUAUCGAUCUACUCACAUUGGCAUGUUUUCGAACUGCUAGGUUGGCAGAAGCUGGAGCUAACAGCGGGUGCUCACUCCGCUCCCGGAAUUUAAACCUGCGACAUUUCGGUCUGCAAGUUCUGCAGCUCAGUGCUUUAACACACUUUGCCACCGGAGUCAUUUGCUCUAGAACCCAUGUAUUUGUAUGUAUGGCACUUCUCCUAAAGAGGUCAAAUAUGGGUUCUGUUUUCCCCAUGCUAGUCUAUUGCAUUUUGCCUCUAAGCACUGGAUUCUGGCACACAUUUCAAGGAGGGAAGUCCCUCCACACCUUGGGUAGGGCUUGGCAAGGGCCAUUGGCUGUGGUGGCUUGGCAAGCCCCAAAAGUUGAAACCAGCCAAAGUUGCAGUUACAAGCAUUCAACUUACAAACCACUCAGAGUUAAGAAUGGCGGAGAGACAACAGGAAGUUAGAGAUACCCGGUUGAAUGAAAAGUAAUGCCUCCACCUUCAUUACUUGGGUUUGGAUGGGAAUAUUUUAAUAAAGCAAAUGCUGAAAUAAUCCUUAGAAUGUGCUCUUCAACUACCACUGUUCACUUUUCCACAGAAUCACCAGACAAUUGGAUACAUUUCUGCUAACAAUGAACAAGGACGAAGCAUGAGGAUUUUGGACAAAUGGAAUUAAUUAUAUAUAUAUUAUUAAGGUUUUAUAAUGUAUUUAUAAUGUAUUUUAACAAUGUUAUUAACAGAUCUAUAUGUAUUGUUUUGCUUUUAUGAUUGUAUUCUUUGGGCAUUAAAUUUUGCCAAUUUUUCUAAGCCGCUUUGAGUCCCCUCGGAUGAAAAGGGUGGGGUAUAAAUGUUGCAAAUAAAUAAAUAAACAAACAAGUUUUCUGAAGUUGUCAUGGUGGGAAAACUUUAGUGGAGACACCUUUUCCCCAUUUUUUUUCAUGUCAGGAGUGACUUGAGAAACUGCAAGUUGUUUCUGGUGUGAGAGAAUUGGCCAUCUGCAAGGACGUUGCCCAGGGGACACCCGGAUGUUUGAUGUUUACCAUCCUUGUGGGAGGCUUCUCUCAUGUCCCCGCAUGGGAUGCUGGAGCUGACAAAGGGAGUUCAUCAGCAGUCCUGCUGGCACAAGAGUUUAACCCAUUGCGCCACCGGGAGCUCCCCCCUUUUCCCCAUGAAAAUAAGUCUUCCAGGAGUUUUUUUCUUUUCUUUUCAGGGGUAGAUUUUUCUUACUUUCUUUGUCUCAUCCCUGCUCUUAACUGAGUUGUUUGUAAGUUGGAUGUUUGUAACUUGGAGACUGCUUGUAAUUGAUAACACUUAAACUGUCACAAUCCAGGGUUACAAAAGCUGGAGUUUGCUGAGGCCCUGGCACUUUUUGGAAGAGAAGAUUAAAGACCUUGCAAAACUGCAACUCCAUUACAUAGAGUCAUGGUGGUUAAACUGCAUUAAUUCUACAGUGUAGUUGCACCAUAAAUUAUAAUAUAUAGUACACAUUGUAAAAAAUUAAGAUCAUACAAUACAGUUGUCCCUCCACAUUUGCUGUUUUGAUUUUUGCGGGUUUGUGAAUGCACAUAUUUAAUUAUCUCUAGGUCCAAUUUUAUGGUCAGCUUCCAAUAAAAUUUGACUAUAGAGUUGUGCUGGAAAAUAUAGAAAUUCCCAUAGAAGUGUUUUCUCGGGUAAAUAAAAAAAUAGAAAUUACUUCAUUUACAUAUUUUCACUUUCACAGAGGUCCUGUGCCCCUAACGUAAUGAAUGUGGAGGAUUGAGUGUAGAUUUAGAAAACAUACCAGAGUUAUGAGAUAUAUAAAACAUGCCCAAUAAAAAGCCACCCCAGCUUAUAUGUUAAAGGCUUUCUUAAAUAAAAAAGUCUUCACCUGCUGGUGAAUGCAUUGCCAGCUGAGAUGGGUGAGUGGGUUCAAACUGUACUCUGACUGUAACUUCUUACAGCACAGGCCAGGUUUAUAGUAUCUAGACUUUUUAAAUGUAACUAAAAGGUACAAUGUAAUGAAAAGGUAACUUUCAGUUUGGAGAAGCAGGAAAAGGAGAGAUAACAUUUACAUUCGAGGAUGUAUCUUGGAUUUUCAGGAUUACACAGACCACAACUUGCACAAUUUCCAACAUUUCACAGUUGAAAACCAGGACACAUUUGGUCAAACAACAUCAGCAUGUGGUCAUGAUGGCAAAUGCUGUCAACAAGAAGUAUUGUACAAGUUAGAAGAUGCAGCAGUUUUAUUUUGUCUGUAUCUGCAGGGAAGGAAAAAGACUCCAAGCCCUCCUCUCUGCUGUACUGAAUUAAUUGAUAGCAACUACUUUUUGCACUGUUGCAACCAGUUCACAGUUCUGGAAAUGAGGUGAGGAGAAAGAAGGAUAUAGGUGUAGGAGGGAAACCGGAAUAUUUUAAAAGCAACCAAAAAGGCCCCCAUCUAUACUACCAUUUAAUCCAGUUUCAAACUGGUAUUGAAGAAUGUGGUUACACUGGGCAGAUGGUUACAUAGGAAAUCCUGGAACAAUUUUGUGCCCUGGAUGGUGAUUACACAAACCACAGAGCAUUGAAGUGCAUUAAGGCCUUCCUUUAGUGUGUUUUUGUGGGAGUUUGUUGCCUGGCUAACACAGUUUGGAGCUAGCAUCGAAGCUAGUAUUGUGGCACCGCCGGUGGCACAGUGUGUUAAACUGCUGAGCUGCUGAACUUGCUGAUUGAAUGAUUGGGGUUUGAAUCUGGGGAGCAGAGUGAGCUCCUACUGUUAGCCCCAGCUUCUGCCAGCCUAGCAGUUUAAAAACAUGCAAAUGUGAGUAGAUCAAUAGAUGCCGCUUUGGCAAGAAGGUAACAGUGGCGGGAAGUCAUGCCGGCUACAUGACCUUGGAAGUGUCUAUAGACAACGCCGGCUCUUCGGCUUAGAAAUAGAGAUGAGCACCAACCCCCAGAGUAGGACAUGACUAGAUUUAAUGUCAGGUGAAAACCUUUACUUUUUUAGUGUGGUUUUUUGUGAGUUUGAAGCUAGCAUCGAACUGCAUUAAAUGGGGACAAAGUGAGAUGAAA
rnacentral:lncRNA from 1 species